AUGUGUGGCGUCUUGUGCUUGCUAGUCUGCAUUAGGUCAAACAAACUUAUUGAGUGCAAGAAAAACCAGUUUGGUUGCAUAAACGAGAGUUAUUCCACACGCGCACGAACCUUAAAGCGUCCUAUCAGGAUUCUCUCGAAUUGGCCGUUUUCAGCGAGCCGGGCUAACUCCAGCACAAAAAGGGGCACGACGUACGCGGUGGUGCAGGAGAGAAUCAACAUGGAGAUGGCAGGAGACCAAAAUCCGCCGACGCGUGAUGGCGCAAAAUCUGGCCACACCCCCAUUUACUCACUCAUCUCCGGCAACAUGACCUGCUUAUCCCAUUCGCCUUCGUCUCCGUUCGUUUCCCUCGCUCCAACAUGGGCGGAUCAUCGGCUUCGAUGGUGGUAA
rnacentral:rRNA from 1 species